UGGGACUCCAGCCACCCUGACAUCACUACAGAGAUCAUCUGGAGCCCAAAUGACUUCCUUGUCUCCUGGCAGCUCACGUUGAAAGUUCUGAUCCUAUCUACCAGCCAGCUGCUCUGUUAUCCGGCCAGCAAGCAGCUCUGUCAUCCACAAGCUGCUCCCUCCACAUAAUCUGCCAACUGCAACAGGACAAAAUGCUCUUCCAUGGGAUGCCCUGUUACGCUCCAUUUUCAUCUCAGCAUUCCAGUCCUUUAGAUGCGUCUGCUGCAACAACAACUACUCGUCAGCCACCAGGCAGGCGGACUGAGGAGGAAGGAGGUACAAGGAUGAAUGAGAUGAAGACUCUGCCCACUAUCCAACCAGCUUACAUUCUAAUGGCUGCAGACAACUGCAAAAUGAGAGAACCGUGCUUCUGAGAGCAUCAGGCUUGUGCAAACAUCACUUCUGGAAGGAUCAUCGCGGAGGCUCAGGGAAGUGAGAAGGUGACUUGGAGUGGGGUCUCUACAGUUCGAGCAAGAGGCAUAAAGGCAAAGUGGCCUAUCCCAGGCGUCCAGAGGGA